AUGAUUAGCAGUGGAAACUGAAGCCCUCUUUUUGUCCACUGAACAGGUACAAGCAUGGGCAGAGCAGUGCAAGCUUCUUCACACUGGCUCAUCAAUGUGCUGCAAACUCUGACCUGAAGGGGCACCUCUAGAGUAAAAGGGUAGUUCAUUCUCCAUGCUCAUUCAAUACUUGCAAUGG
rnacentral:sRNA from 1 species